rnacentral:rRNA from 1 species
AUUGAACGCUGGCGGCAGGCCUAACACAUGCAAGUCGAACGGUAACAGGAAGCAGCUUGCUGCUUUGCUGACGAGUGGCGGACGGGUGAGUAAUGUCUGGGAAACUGCCUGAUGGAGGGGGAUAACUACUGGAAACGGUAGCUAAUACCGCAUAACGUCGCAAGACCAAAGAGGGGGACCUUAGGGCCUCUUGCCAUCGGAUGUGCCCAGAUGGGAUUAGCUAGUAGGUGGGGUAACGGCUCACCUAAGCGACGAUCCCUAGCUGGUCUGAGAGGAUGACCAGCCACACUGGAACUGAGACACGGUCCAGACUCCUACGGGAGGCAGCAGUGGGGAAUAUUGCACAAUGGGCGCAAGCCUGAUGCAGCCAUGCCGCGUGUAUGAAGAAGGCCUUCGGGUUGUAAAGUACUUUCAGCGGGGAGGAAGGGAGUAAAGUUAAUACCUUUGCUCAUUGACGUUACCCGCAGAAGAAGCACCGGCUAACUCCGUG